ensembl:lncRNA
UUGCAGACAGGAAGUGGGGAGCCUCAUGCACACAGCUGCGGAAUGAAACAGAAGCAGCAGGGGAAGAGAGCUGCCGCAAUUGCUCAUCGGCUCUAGACUGAAAUAUGUGAAGGGAGGCUUUCCCACCUUCAAAUCAAACCUGGAAUCAACAGAGUUCUCAUCCCCACUUGAAAUUCCUUCUCUAAACACAGCCUUUCUCGUUGAUAAAGAAAGCCCGGGAGCUAAUUGCUAGGUAGAAGAUACAGGAAGGACUUCCUGUCCCAGGAGGAAAAGGUAGAUGCAAGGAAGGAGAACGGGCCUUUCUGCAUUACUUUGGAGGAAGAACUCAACCGUGUGUCUCUGCCCUCCACUACAGGUGAACUCCCUGAGCAAGGGCUGUUGACUUGUCUCCCAGAGAGGAAACGAGAAUGUUAAUAAUGUGCCAAAGAUCAAAGAUUUCAGAAAUCACCAUCAUCUUUCACAUGCUGCUUAUUUAAAAAAUGAUAUCGUACUAAAAACUGAACAAAAUAAACUUUGGGAAUACAAACAUAGGAAAAUGGAUAUACAGGCUAAGGUAUAACAUGUUCUAAGAGGUUGACUAUCAC